rnacentral:rRNA from 1 species
UACGUAGGUGGCAAGCGUUGUCCGGAAUUACUGGGUGUAAAGGGAGCGCAGGCGGGAAGCCAAGUCAGCUGUGAAAACUACGGGCUUAACUUGUAGACUGCAGUUGAAACUGGUUUUCUUGAGUGAAGUAGAGGUUGGCGGAAUUCAGAGUGUAGCGGUGAAAUGCGUAGAUAUUCGGAGGAACACCGGUGGCGAAGGCGGCCAACUGGGCUUUAACUGACGCUGAGGCUCGAAAGUGUGGGGAGCAAACAGG